UGGACUUCUCUGUUCUCUCCACCCACUCAUAUUUUCACACAGUGACAAUGUUCCUCUUGCCCGAUCCCCAUUCUCCUUUCCUUAUUCUCUCCGCUCACCCAAAAAUUGCUGCUCCUCCCAUCAACUUGCUCUCUUGUUCGCUGCCUUUAGGUUCCUCGUCCUCACCUCAAGCCACUCCGCAACUGGUGCUGCCACAGCGACAGUAUCUGGUUUCCAUCUUGGGUGUGAGGAUGGCGGCGAGGUUCUCUUCCCCAAGCGCGCAAGCAAGAGCGUUGUCGCUCUUUCCACUCGAGGCAGCUCGGGACAUGGUCCUCAUCCUCCACACCGACAUCAUUCUUCGAAGGUCGACCUGCAGGUCCCUAUUUUUUGUUUUCCCAACUCUGUCAUAUUUCCCCCUUUUGGUUGAGUUACUUUCCCUACAUAAACAUAAAUCCUAAUUAGUAGAAGUAAGAUAUUGUUUCAUCUCUGGCUUAAGCACUUUAUUUCUCCUUGUGGGAAUGGAAAAAUAUUUUUUGCUUUAGCCACAAUGCAUGCAUACGUGUUAUACUUAGCUAUAGAUAGAACAAAAUGUAACAUGUUUUUGUGAUUUCAUAGAGCAAUUAAAAUUAGCCACACUCAAAGAUAAUGUGUGAAAUGCAAGGGCGUCCGAACUUUAUAACCACUUGUUUUAUGGUAAAAUGUGUGAGAUACAACUUUACUACAUCAAAACCACCGAGUUAAUGAAGGUAAGUUUUCAUGCUUUGAAAUAUUUGAGCUGCACAUAGAUAGCAGAACUGAUGUGCAAAUCAUAAGCAAGGUACAUAAUGUUGCUUCCUGUAUACUGCAAUACCAGUUGUGCAUUCUUAAAAUUUAGAAAUUGAACUGAGAACUGUAACUAAAUCAAAUGGAUGAUAACCUGCAUAAGGGUGAAACUUUGUGGAGAUUUUCUUACUUCGCAUAGAUCAAAGUUUCUCCUUUGUGUGUAGCCGCAAAGUCUGGCACAUCUCCAUUUAUGAUUGGAGGUUGUAUCUUUUUCUUGUCUUGAAGUUCCAUUCUCCUUCCAAUCUUGCCAUUUUUGUUGAUUGUCUUGAAUUGCAUCAAUAAGAUAACAAUUUAAAAUACGUUUUAUCGUUGAAGCUAAAAUCAAUUAGGAACCUCCAACGCCUAACUGGAACUGUUGCAUUUUUUGUUUUAAUUUUGUUGUGAUAGCACACACAAAAUAUUCAUCAUUAGUAACGGAUCACCUUGUUGGAUUACAUAUAUGUUUUGUUUUAACCAUCUUGGCAGGUUUCUAACCUUCCUUGUUAUGUGGCCCAUCUUUUCUUUUCAUUGUUGAUUCCUGCACAUUAGAGAGUGCAAAUAUAAAGUGGUGGACCUAGAGAUCGUGCUUUGCUGUGGCGAUGGACGACGAUAAAUAUCAUGGCGGUGCUCCAGCUGGUCAUUGGACAUGGGGAGUACCCUUCUCGGCCGCUUGAGACAUUGACCGGCUGCCCCGCUUGAUGAUCGUACAUACUGGAGGUGAUCUAGUUGUUCAACGGAGCCGGCUGGUGCCCAAUGCCGAAGUGCCACUGGUUGGAGGAAGUUGACCUUAAAGUGUUGUUCAAUGGAGGAAGAUGAUGUACAAGGUUGUUCGGAUGCCGAGAGGUUUUUUAUAUGCAUGCGACCAUGAGAUUUUGGUCCUAUCUAGAGAUAUUCUGUUUGGAGAGAUCAAAUCUCUGCAAAUUUCUGAGAGUUUGGAUUUGUUUGGAGGGAUGGCAUCUUUGUAUAGUUUUUUUUGUGGGCAGGAUCUUCAGAGUUUGGUCAUGUUUCUUACCCUGUACGCCCUAUUUUUUUUAUUAUAUGGGAUGGUUUGAUCACUCGUGGGAUGGUGCAGCCUGUUUUUUAUUAGUUGAUGGUCCAGCUUAUCAUGAGUUUCUGUACAGGUCCAACCUGUUAUGGUCUCACGUGCGAGAAAUCUGACCCUGCUUGUAACAUUUUUUAUUUUUAUUAUGGAUCCAAUUUGUUAUGAUCUAACAUUACG